GGCGAUGUGGCUCAGUGGUAGAGCGCUUCCUUCCGGUCCUGGCGGCAGCACCACCAUAUGCGACAGCGGCGGCGGCACCACCAAUCCUGGCAGCAGGGCAGACACCAAAGGAAGAGGUCCUGGGUUCGAACCCCAGCAUCGCCA
rnacentral:tRNA from 1 species